rnacentral:rRNA from 1 species
UAGGGAAUCUUCCACAAUGGACGAAAGUCUGAUGGAGCAACGCCGCGUGAGUGAAGAAGGUUUUCGGAUCGUAAAGCUCUGUUGUUGGUGAAGAAGGAUAGAGGCAGUAACUGGUCUUUAUUUGACGGUAAUCAACCAGAAAGUCACGGCUAACUACGUGCCAGCAGCCGCGGUAAUACGUAGGUGGCAAGCGUUGUCCGGAUUUAUUGGGCGUAAAGCGAGCGCAGGCGGAAUGAUAAGUCUGAUGUGAAAGCCCACGGCUCAACCGUGGAACUGCAUCGGAAACUGUCAUUCUUGAGUGCAGAAGAGGAGAGUGGAACUCCAUGUGUAGCGGUGGAAUGCGUAGAUAUAUGGAAGAACACCAGUGGCGAAGGCGGCUCUCUGGUCUGCAACUGACGCUGAGGCUCGAAAGCAUGGGUAGCGAACAGGAUUAGAUACCCUGGUAGUCCAUGCCGUAAACGAUGAGCGCUAGGUGUUGGGGACUUUCCGGUCCUCAGUGCCGCAGCAAACGCAUUAGGCGCUCCGCCUGGGGAGUACGACCGCAAGGUUGAGAC